ACCGAGCAAGAGCAGAAAUCACAUAGGCUUUGGUAUUAGUGACCAAGUUCAAGACUUCAAGAGAUGAUAAACUCCCUUAGGCAAUGGAGGUCUAAGCCUAUUAAGUUACUUGCAUCUUCAGGCCUUGCAGAUUAGGAUUUCAACCGUGGAAUCAGCGCUUUGUUUUCGGUUAUUGAACAUGGGUUGUGGAAAGUUAGUCUCUGCUAUGUUGGCAUGUCGCGCUCUUUCUAUAAUUGUGAGUGUGGGAAUAUUACUCUACCGGAUGGUAGAAAGAAUCAUGGACAUAAUCUUAUGAAUCAAAUACAAAAAUAGAGCUGCAGUACAAAUACUGCUGCACAAAGUAUAUAUGGUCGAUUGAUUUCCCCUUCUCUCAGUUACCAUUGUUUGAAAAGACCAGCACCGGAGGGAAAUCUUGCUUCUAUCCCAUACUAAGACAAGUAUUUUAAAUCACUGAUCUGAGGCGCAAUGGUGCCGCAUCUGA